rnacentral:tRNA from 1 species
UAGGAUGGGUUUUGGGAGAGCACUGCCUUCGGGAGGCAGGGGGCGGAGGUUCAAAUCCUCUCACCCCGACCU